rnacentral:rRNA from 1 species
GAUGAACGCUGGCGGCGUGCUUAACACAUGCAAGUCGAACGGAAAGGCCCAAGCUUGCUUGGGUACUCGAGUGGCGAACGGGUGAGUAACACGUGGGUGAUCUGCCCUGCACUUCGGGAUAAGCCUGGGAAACUGGGUCUAAUACUGGAUAGGACCACUUCUUGGAUGUUGUGGUGGAAAGUUUUUUCGGUGUGGGAUGAGCUGGCGGCCUAUCAGCUUGUUGGUGGGGUAAUGGCCUACCAAGGCGUCGACGGGUAGCCGGCCUGAGAGGGUGUAAGGCCACAUUGGGACUGAGAGACGGCACAGACGCCUACGGGAGGAAGCAGUGGGGAAGAUUGCACAAUGGGCGCAAGCCUGAUGCAGCGACGCCGCGUGGGGGAAGACGGCCUUCGGGUUGUAAACUCCUUUCGCUAGGGACGAAGCGUUUUGUGACGGUACCUGGAGAAGAAGCACCGGCUAACUACGUG